rnacentral:lncRNA from 1 species
UUGGGUCAUAAGAAGCCUUGUAGCUUCUGCCUUCGUCUUUUAGAACUCUCACUCUGUGGGAAGCCGGGUGCCAUGUAAAGUCUGCUACCCUGAGACUGCCAUGCUGGGAGGAAGCCCAAGCUGGCCAUGUGGGGAGGCCCACGACGAGAGAGUCCCGCCAGUCCCGCUGUUCGUGUCAUCUCAGCUGAGGCAUCAGACGUGAUAAUGAUGGAUGGAGAUGACGAUUAAACGACUCCAGCCCCCGCCUCCACCUGACUCGGACUCUCAGAGAGACCCCGGAUGACACUGCCCAGCCGAGCCUGGUCAGCUCAGACUGUAUGUAGGAUGUCAUCUGAAGUCGUUGGCCACUGCACUUUGAGGAAUUCUUUAGGGUUCCCUGGUGACCCUGAAGUAUGGUGCCCUAGAGGAAAGACAGGGGAAUGGUGAGUCCUUUCCUCUUCACUGGUGGCCUCCGUUACAGCAGCGACCUGGCCCUUCCUGGAUUUGUGGCCCACAUCAAGGCAGGAGAGAGAGAAGAAGGCUGAGGAAGGUGACAGCAGACGUGGUUUCCAAGGAAACAGGAAGCAAUCACCAGGCCCUCUGAGGAUCAUUAUUUCUUUGUCCUGCUAAAAGCCAGAUGCUCCCACCUUCUAAGCCAGCUCAGACGGUUGAGCAGGCACCAAAAUGGGUCCCCAGGGAGGAGACAAGGGGCUGGGGGAGCCUAUGGAGGGGGCGCUACUCCCUCUGCUGGACCCCCUUCCUCUCACGAGGCCUCCCCUUCCUCACAAAGACAUGCCCUUCCCCCAAAUCUCCUUAGGCCGCGAGGGGAGCCUAGUGUUUGAUGAGGAAUACACGGGAAGUUGUCUUCUCUGGAGCUCCAAGCACAGGACGUCUUUGCUCGGAGUCUGUCCCGGGAUUCAUCGGCGAGGAUUCCAGCCUGUGGACCCGCCUGGUCCCGGGUGGAGGGAUGGCUGGCCUGAGUGCCGAAUGCUCCAGAAAUAAACCGAGCAAUGACACUGUGUCCAGCGCUCAGACACCGUGAUCUGAGGUGGCCGAGGUGCAAGACCUCCCUGGAGCCGUCAAGAAUCACCAUCUAAGGGGCACUUCUUUGGGGCCACACGUGACACGGGGCGGGCUGGAGCUGUAGGCACGGGUUCUCACAACCCCUCAGAGAACCCCCUGAAGGGGACGCUGUCUUC